GCACGGAUGUCAGAGCGGCUAUGAGCGGGAUUGCAGAUCCUGAGACCGGAGUUCAAAUCUCCGUCCGUGCUCCA
rnacentral:tRNA from 1 species